UACGUAUGGGGCAAGCGUUAUCCGGAUUUACUGGGUGUAAAGGGAGCGCAGGCGGCCUGGCAAGCCUGAUGUGAAAUACCGGGGCCCAACCCCGGGGCUGCAUUGGGAACUGCCAGGCUGGAGUGCCGGAGAGGCAGGCGGAAUUCCUAGUGUGGCGGUGAAAUGCGUAGAUAUUAGGAGGAACACCAGUGGCGAAGGCGGCCUGCUGGACGGUGACUGACGCUGAGGCUCGAAAGCGUGGGGAGCAAACAGG
rnacentral:rRNA from 1 species